AUUGAACGCUGGCGGCAUGCCUUACACAUGCAAGUCGAACGGUAACAGGUCUUCGGAUGCUGACGAGUGGCGAACGGGUGAGUAAUACAUCGGAACGUGCCUAGUAGUGGGGGAUAACUACUCGAAAGAGUGGCUAAUACCGCAUGAGAUCUACGGAUGAGAGCAGGGGAUCGCAAGACCUUGUGCUACUAGAGCGGCCGAUGGCAGAUUAGGUAGUUGGUGGGAUAAAAGCUUACCAAGCCGACGAUCUGUAGCUGGUCUGAGAGGACGAUCAGCCACACUGGGACUGGGACACGGCCCAGACUCCUACGGGAGGCAGCAGUGGGGAAUUUUGGACAAUGGGCGCAAGCCUGAUCCAGCAAUGCCGCGUGCAGGAUGAAGGCCUUCGGGUUGUAAACUGCUUUUGUACGGAACGAAAAGCCCCGGGUUAAUACCCUGGGGUCAUGACGGUACCGUAAGAAUAAGCACCGGCUAACUACGUGCCAGCAGCCGCCGUAA
rnacentral:rRNA from 1 species